AUGGUUCUUUUGUGCCUGGGGCCUUAUUUAUGAAACAUUUAAGUGAAAUAAAUAACGAAAUUUUCCUUAUCUUUGGCAACGUUUAUUUUAAAUCCCUUAUGUUUUUCUUAUACUAGAUUGUACACACAUGGUUAGUUUUCUUACAAAUCAGCUUAGAAAAAGGCAUUGUUGUAGUAAGUGGGACAUUUAUCCUUGGUUGCAUUAGGAAUAUGGCCCCUAAUCUGUUUUAUUUGAUCAUUUUAUUGUAAACUAUAACGAGACAUAAUCCAAAGAAACCAAACUGCUGAGUUAAUUUGCAAAGCCUCAGUAUCAUUUAGGAUUAAAUAAUAAGAGAAAAAAGUGAGCAUAUAACUAUGAUAGACUCUCAUACAAUGUCUGAUAAAUUCAUGAGGUCCAUACGAUUGUAAAGAAAUGUAUGGGAAAUACCAAUGAAAUUCCAAACUGGUCCACUGACUUACUAAAUGCUAAUGAGGCAGAUAAGUUGGCGGAGCAAAGCAUCAAUGUUGUUCAGUGAAAAAUCGCAGAUAGGUACUCGCUCAUUUUUUUUUUAAAUACACUUUUUUUUGAAUGCCGAAUGAGGCAAAUCAAUAGGAACGUUAAAACUAAGAUACUAAAAGCUGGAACCCUUCAGCAAUGUUGAUAUUUGCUCAAAUCUCGUCUAUUAAGACCAUAAUUUUCAUGCUUUGUUUUUGCGUCAUUGGUUGAUUGACAUUAUAACGUGAUGUUAUUAAUGUAUGGCCAAGAUGUUAAAUUAUCGUUGUCCUCGUGGUUUAGUGGAUCAGGUGGCAAAUAAUAUGUUCUUUUCUUGACUUUAACGGCUUGGGUUCGCACCCGACUAAUACCAAAAUAUUACUUAUACUACCAAUCGGAACUCCUCGGCUAGUAUCAAGAUAUGGCCUCAAAUACGGGUCGUAAGAAAAUAGUCCAUCAUGGCCGACCAAGAAGAUGUUCAAACAACCAAGGGUUAUGUUAGUCCAAAGACAGAAUGAGGAGCGAACUUUUACCACUUAUUUGUGUAGAAGAGUAUGGUACCAGGGGUGCAGCUGACUCUGAUUCCCGGCUUGUUCUAAUGAAAAAAGGCAGAUUAGGCACUGGAAUCCGAAUGUAAUCAAAAAUGUCAUUGUAUGAGGAUUGACCUGCAAUGCAUGGCAAUCAUCUUAACUGCAAUGCUUUCCUUGGAAAAAUGAGUGCAAGAUGGAAACAAAGCGUUCAGUGGAACAUCUUGUCAUCUCAAAUAUUUGAUGACUUACAUAUUGAUGUGAAGUUGAAGAUAAAAGUCAUCUGUUGGUCCGUGAUUAUUAAAUAAAUCCGAACAUAUAUUUUAAAAGGGUAAAAUGGUAAAGGAUUUAUAUACGCUUUAAGUGCUUUUCCUAUAUUAUGGAGGGAAGAUAACUACAAAAACAGAAACAGAUGCCAUCGGCAGACCAAAUAAAGGAGAACUAUUUUGUUCAGUUCAAUUUUUAAGACUUUAGAAAAUCUGUUAAUAGGGCACAUCCUUGCAAAUGCCAUAUUGUAAACUGGGCUCUUUAAAAUGUGAAAAGGUGAAAGUGGUCUAGAGGAUAAGCCCCAAAUUCAAGGUUAUGAGUUCAAGACCUCCAAGAUACUUUCUCUUGACCUCAGGAAAAGGAUGUCCAUACUUGUUUCUUCUUAGGCAACAGACUUAAGAGUGAUUUUGUAAGCUUCCAGCUUGCAUAGCAAUCUGAUAAGGCAUAAAAUAAGAUACUAGCUGACUUGCAAACAGUUUUUCCAUUUGUGUUGAUUUAUUUUUCAGUCUGUUGGAAUGUUUAUUAGAAGUGAUGCGCAUUGCUUACUGCAACCAAUAUUUGUUUUCUUUAUUAAGUUGAAUUUAACAAACACAUAAUAUGACUUGUGAUUUUACAGAUGCAUGUUUAUUUCGUUGAUUGUAUGAGUUUAUUUUCUCAAAUGAUGUAA